ACGAACGCUGGCGGCGUGCUUAACACAUGCAAGUCGAACGGAAAGGCCCCUUUGGGGGUACUCGAGUGGCGAACGGGUGAGUAACACGUGAGUAACCUGCCCUUGACUUCGGGAUAACUUCAGGAAACUGGGGCUAAUACCGGAUAGGAAUCCUUGCUGCAUGGUGGGGGUUGGAAAGCUUCGGCGGUUUUGGAUGGACUCGCGGCUGAUCAGCUUGUUGGUGGGGUAGUGGCUUACCAAGGCUUUGCCGGGUAGCCGGCCUGCGAGGGCGACCGGCCCCAUUGGGACUGAGUGACGGCCCAGCCACCUACGGGGGGCAGAAGUGGGGAAUUUUGCACGAUGGGCGGGAGCCUGAUGCAGCAACGCCGCGUGCGGUAUGACGGCCUUCGGGUUGUAAACCGAUUUCAGCAGGGGCGAAGCUUGUGGUGACGGUACCUGCAGAAGAAGCACCGGCUAACUACGUG
rnacentral:rRNA from 1 species